rnacentral:tRNA from 1 species
GUGGGUGUAGCUCAGUGGUAGAACCCAUGCUUAGCAUGCUUGAGGGUCCUGGGUUCAGUCCCAGUACCCCCA